AAGUAGCACCUUUUGACUUUUCAACAAAAUGGAGAUUAUCUCCUUUAUCUCGUCUCUUUCUGCAUAUUUCUAGAGAGCACGACCAAAUAAUACCCCUAACAUCACCCUUAAGCUCUCUGCAAGGGUUUCAAAUAAUACCAUCAUCCCGGGCACGAAAUCACGAAGCAAUAACACAAGAACGAUCCCCACGACGUAAGUAUUGCUAUAUAACCUUUCUUUUUCUUUAUAGUUUGAGUGUUGGAAGGUAUUUAAUAGUUAAGAAAAUUCUUAAUUUAUGGUUUUAAGCUCAUAAAUAUCAAGUAAGUUUGAUUAAUUCAUUUCAUAAUAUUUAGAACUCACGGGAAGGUGAUCGGAAGCCGUGAGUUCGAGUUAUUUGAUUUGUAAUGGACUGUUUUGUGGGCUAUUUCGUGUAGCUUUUGGGCUGUAUCUUUUGCUGAUAUUUAAUGGAGUUUUUGGAGGAUAAAUGGUUUGAAUAAACACCACAUAUUUGUGAAAUAAUGGAUUAGUCAUUCUUUGUAAUAUUUUCGGGGUGUUGGACACUACUAUAGUCGUUGUUUUUGGUAUGAAUUGAUUGGGGUGUGUUGGGCUGUUGUAAGCUAAAUAUAAUAUAGAUUUCGACUUGCAUAUACUGUAGGAGGUAAUUAUAUUGUGCUCCAACAAGUGCUUAAGGUUAUAUUGACAUCGGUUGAGUUAAAUGGAUGAAGUAGACAUGAACUAGUAAAUAAAGUUGCUAAUUAAGAAUAAUUGGAGUUGUGUAUCAUUUUCUUUGUUAUGGAUAUAUGGUAUAAGGUUGUAAUUAUUGAUGAAUGACUUCAUUAUCAUGUUAAUGAUACUAUUAAUUUAAAGUAAAAAGUCUAUAAGGGAUGAUAAGGGAUAUACGAAUUCCAAUUGGAGCUUGUCGCUCGUCGUAAAAUAGUUAUGACUUGUUGUAGUUUUAUGGUAUCUUGUUAUUGAUAAUUGGUAUUGAUGGAUUUCUCUGGUAAUUGUUGUUGGUAUAUGGUAUUGGAGGAGGCUCUUGUUACUGGGGAGAAGGUGCCCGAAUUUAUAUAAAUGAGCUACAAGUUUAAGUUGCAAACUUAGCCUUUAUUCAACACUAAUUUUGAAUCUCCUUAUGCAAUGGUAGAUUGAGUUGAGUUGUUUGAAGAGUUGCUUAAGAUGUAUUAAGGACUCACCAUGGUUAAGGUAUGUUAAGGCACUUCCCUCUUUCUUUUGGCAUGAUCUAAAGUGAAAUGAAUACACUAUUUCGUAACAGAUCUACUCCUAGAAACUAAGGUUGCCCAUGUUGUUCUUUCCUUAUAAAGUUAUUCUAAGAAAGUAUGUAUGAUCCUUGAAUCCUAUAGAAGCUCAUAUUGAUGGUAUGAUGUCCAUAAUGUAAAUCGAAGGUGCAACGACCUUAAGUCACUCCAAAAGGUUUAGAACGUGAUUCCAUGAGUUUAGCAUGCAUUAUAUAUAAUAUCUAUUUUACUCUACCGAGCCGCACUAUAGUAGGCCGGGUAUGAUAUAUAUUGUGUAACCACUGAUCAGUUGGAUUUACCGAGCUCCACGUGGCCGGGUACGAUUCUACCGAGCCUUAUGAUGGCCGGGUACAUUUUUACCGAGUCCUCUUUGAGGUCGGGUAUGAUAUGAUGAUGAUGAUGAUGAUGAUGCCUACAGACGCAUAUAUUUUUAAAAGGUUAUGUAUAUAAAUGUAUUACGCAUUUCAUGUCAGCAUCCCACAGAGGCACGCAGAUGUUACAGAUUGUAUCUCCUCUAUCUCUCUUUAUAUUACUAUUCUUGUUUAUGCUUUACAUACUCGGUACUUUAUUGGUACUGACGUCCCUUUUGCCUAGGGACGCUGCGUUUCAUGCUUGCAGGUCCCAAUUGAUAGGUUGACAUUCCUCCUAGUAGGCUAUCAGCUCAGCGGAGGUGUUGGUGCACUCCACUUGCUCCGGAGUUGCCUAUUUGGUCAGUAUGCUUUAGAUAUAUAUUGAUUGACAUGGUGGGGCACUGUCUCGACCUUUAUGAUUUUAUGUACUCUUAGAGGCUUGUAGACAUAUGUUAUGUAUAUGAAAAUCAUAUGGCCUUAUCGGCCUAUGUUCAGCGUAUGAGUUAUCACUUUGGUUUUAUAGGCACGUAUGUCACAUGUAUAAGUUUUCAUGUCAUGUCAGGUCGUCCAAUAUUUUGUAUUCCCUUAUAUUUUAUUUUUUUUUAUCUCAUCACGACCUUUCUAGGCUAUUUGCCCAUGAUAUUAUGAUACGACAGAUACGUUAUGUUGGUACUCGGUUAAGUAAGGUAUCGGGUGCCCAUCACUGCCCAUUGGUUUGGGUCGUGACACUAACCCUAUCCAAAAACCCACAUUACGGUCCAAAGAAAGACCUUUCGAUCAGUCUUUGAGAGUUUCCAAGUCGAGCAAGUAGAGGUGAUUUGUAUCAGGGGCAGCACUCUGGUCCAGGCAGGAAAAAAUAAUAAAAAUGAGAGUCUUAUUGGUGAAAACCCUCACGAGCACCGUAAGGCGAUGGGAGCUGAGAGAAAUAAUAAAAAUGAGAGAGUCUUAUUGGUGAAAACCCUCACGGGCACCUUGAGGCGAAAGUGAGCUGAGAGAUGAACAAAUGAGAGAGGCUUGUUGGUGAAAACUCUUCAGGGCACCGCAAGCCAAACAAGGUCAAGGUUUUGGUGAAGAAGUCUAGUUAUGGAAAUUCCGGGGCAACAAAGUAUGGCAAUUGAAAGUUGACUCGUUGGACAGAUUGGGUCGAUUAAUCGGAAAUGUCAUGAUCAUUGGUGCCAGCUGCUUCACUCAGAUAAGUUUCUUUUCUUUUUUCCAUUUAGAUAGUCUUCCCGUUUUGGAUUUUGCUUAUCCUUAACUCUGAAAGUCAUUCCAUUUCAUUUCUUUUGGGUUUAUUUCUCUAAGAUGUUCCUAAUGUCAGUUCUAUUUAAGCAAAUAAGAAGGAAUUCCAAAGCCUACUACCAACUUCAAAAGUUGCACAAGGCGUAGGGCAGUUGAGGCAUUGCUAGAGGUAGUAUGAUGUGAAAUGGGAUAUAAAGUGCCAGUGAAUAUUCCAUCAGCGGAAUGAUUCAGUAAUUUCAUAGGAGAUGCAGAAGUUCAGUAAAAGGGGUCAGAGGUGAAACAACGGUUCGGGUAUAGAACACUCGGGUCAUCCGAGGUCACGUGGGUUGAAAAUCAGUCAGAAAGCCAAGCUGUUCUUGGCCAGUCCAUGGGAAGUCAGUCACAACGAAGCACGACAACAAGGAGGCCACUUUCAGCAAGAAUUCCAUCAGCUAACCACCACAUUUUAAACUGACAAGAUUUUUCUUGAAACAGGGGCAAAAAGUUUCGUUUGUUUCGGGGAAACCCUUCGUAAAGAAAAGCGAGCACCAAAUAGGUUUGGCUGUAAAUUUUCAGGUCCUGCCUAGAUAAUGGGAUUAAAUUCGAAGUUCUUAGGACCCUCCUAAAAAUGGGACCUAGUUUAAAGUUCAAAACAAUCAUGAGUAGUAAAAUCUAGCAUAAAUGUAUCCCAAGGAAUAUAAGAUGGUUUCAAAGUUUGCAUGUUUAAGAUAUGAUUCAAUUAGGAGUUUUCAGGGCCCUCCUGAAUAAUGGGACCUAGCUUUAGGAUUUCCAUCAGAUAACAAGAUGCAGCGUAAGUUCUAUUGUAGGGUAAUAUAAUUUAGCCGUAAAACAGUCACUCUUAAGAUAAAACUUAAUUUUUGAUUCUCAGGACCCUCCUCGAUAAUGGGAUGUAGCUUUAAUACUUUCUUAGAUAAACAAGAUGUAGCGAAAGUAGUACCUUUAGAAGAUAUAAUUUAGAGUUAAAACUGUCAUUUAACUGGGAGCUGUCAGGACCCUCCUGGAUAACCGGACGUAGCUUUCAAAUUCUUAGUAAUAUUUGGUAAUAUGAUUCAGUUUAACACUCACAUAUGUGCCC
rnacentral:lncRNA from 1 species